rnacentral:lncRNA from 1 species
ACUAAAUACUUUUCAGCAUUUAUGUAAAUUCAACGGUACAAUAAUCAUAAUUACAGUCCAAGUCUUACACUACAAUGAAUAGCCAACCAAAUCACAAAAUAAUACUAUUUAAGCAUAGAAAAGAUGUUCAACAAUAGAUCUACAGUAGCAAGCCUCAAUUUCCUUCUUAUUUCAACUGAGGUUCCACACAUGAAAUACAGAACAUGUACCUGGAUUAAAAUGCUAAAAGUGAAGAAGAAAUGAAGGUCACUGGAGGCAGAGAUGAACAGCAACUCAGAUUCAUAGCAAUUCAAUCAAUUUUAGCUCCAGAUUUAACACAAUAGACCCAAGAACAAACAUCAACAGAUUUAACACUUCAAUGAAACAGGAAACCAACCAAACUAGCUCGAAUGGACCAUAAACUGACUCGAACAUACCCAUACUAACUCAAAGCUGGACUGGAGCCAUUUUUGAAAUCACCAGAUGUUAGAAACAGCAUGAAACAAUCCUUCUUGAAUCCCAAAUCUCCUCGAAAUCAAUCAACAACACCUCUAAAACUUUGAAUGAUCAGAAACCAAACUACAAAAUAUAAAGCAGUAGCCAGAAGAUAAAAUUCACAUAGAACCCCAAUAAAACAGUAGCUUUCUAUGGUUUUUCUGCAAUUUUAUAUUGUUUUUUUUUUGGGGAUUUCUUUUGAAGAUUUGAAGUUUGGAUAUCAAAUUUCAGAUCUGAACUUGUAAAGAAAUGCAAGGAAAUUUUUAUGAGACUCUAAACUUGUUAAAGA